rnacentral:rRNA from 1 species
AGCAGCCGCGGUAAUUCCAGCUCCAAUAGCGUAUAUUUAAGUUGUUGCAGUUAAAAAGCUCGUAGUUGGAUUUCGGUUAAGAGCGACCGGUCCGCCGUUUGGUGUGCACUGGUUGGUUUUAACUUCCUGUAGAGGACGUGCUCUGGGUUUAACGACCUGGACUCGGAGUCUACGUGGUUACUUUGAAAAAAUUAGAGUGUUCAAAGCGGGCUUACGCUUGAAUAUUUCAGCAUGGAAUAACACUAUAGGACUCCUGUCCUAUUUCGUUGGUCUCGGGACGGGAGUAAUGAUUAAGAGGAACAGUUGGGGGCAUUCGUAUUUCAAUGUCAGAGGUGAAAUUCUUGGAUUUUUGAAAGACGAACUUCUGCGAAAGCAUUUGCCAAGGAUGUUUUCAUUAAUCAAGAACGAAAGUUGGGGGCUCGAAGAUGAUUAGAUACCAUCCUAGUCUCAACCAUAAACGAUGCCGACUAGGGAUUGGCGGAUGUUAAUUGAUGACUCCGCCAGCACCUUAUGAGAAAUCAAAGUUUUUGGGUUCCGGGGGGAGUAUGGUCGCAAGGCUGAAA